GAUGAACGCUGGCGGCGUGCUUAACACAUGCAAGUCGAACGGAAAGGCUCCUGCUUGCAGGGGUACUCGAGUGGCGAACGGGUGAGUAACACGUGGGUGAUCUGCCCUGCACUUCGGGAUAAGCCUGGGAAACUGGGUCUAAUACCGGAUAGGACGAUGGUUUGGAUGCUAUUGUUGAAAGUUUUUUCGGUGUGGGAUGAGCUCGCGGCCUAUCAGCUUGUUGGUGGGGUAUUGGCCUACCAAGGCGUCGACGGGUAGCCGGCCUGAGAGGGUGUACGGCCACAUUGGGACUGAGAUACGGCCCAGACUCCUACGGGAGGCAGCAGUGGGGAAUAUUGCACAAUGGGCGGAAGCCUGAUGCAGCGACGCCGCGUGGGGGAUGACGGCCUUCGGGUUAUAAACCGCUUUCGCUAGGGACGAAGCGCAAGUGACGGUACUGGGAGAAGAAGCACCGGCUAACUACGUG
rnacentral:rRNA from 1 species